rnacentral:rRNA from 1 species
AGCCUUAAAUCUUGAUGCCCCCUAACACGAACAUCCGCCUGAGAACUACGAGCACAAACGCUUAAAACUCUAAGGACUUGGCGGUGCCCUAAACCCACCUAGAGGAGCCUGUUCUAUAAUCGAUAACCCACGAUUCACCCGACCACUUCUUGCCAAAACAGCCUAUAUACCGCCGUCGCCAGCCCACCUCAUGAGAGCACAGCAGUGGGCCCAACAACCCACAGCCCGCUAACAAGACAGGUCGAGGUAUAGCCCAUGAAGUGGAAGAAAUGGGCUACAUUUUCUAAAAUAGAAAACCCAACGGAAGGGGGCUUGAAACCUGCCCCCAGAAGGCGGAUUUAGCAGUAAAGUAGGAUAACCAAGCCUUCUUUAAGUCGGUCCUAGAGCA